rnacentral:lncRNA from 1 species
CUGUCCACCUGCUCCUGAAAGGUUGGUGACACCACUCGGCCUUCGUCCUUGGACUUGGAGCAGUCCCUGCUCUUCAGGACAGGUCUGAGGACCACGUGAGCUCAUGGUGCAGCGACCAGCAUGAGAGGGGUCAGUGCGAGUCUUCAGUGCUGUGAUUAUGCCAUCAUCAUUGCCCUUGGUGUCUAAUUCGAGGACAGAGCAGGCAGCUGCAAACGCCUAUUGAAACGAGGAGCCCAAGAGGUGGGCUGGGCACCCACCCAGCCCAGGAGCAGCCCUGCUCCCACCUGGCCUCUGUCACCUGCUGAUCAGAAGCAUGGGCCCCACCAUGUCUCCAGGGCUCCUGAGGGCCUCCUAGGAGGCCAUGAUGCUCUCUGCCGCUGAAGCCCUCAGCAGCAACCUUAGCCUGGACCUCGGGGGAUUUGCCUUGAAGAAUCACUUGAUUCCAGUCAGCUGAACUGGACUCUGACUCGAGUCCCUGGGGCUGUGGACCCGUGUGACCCGGAGCCGCUGGCUUCUCCUCUCCGUACCUCAGCUCACUCAGCCUAUAAGUCACAGUGUGCGCCCUCAGGACUGCUGGCAUAAGCUGGGGGAGAGCACUGAGGGUCACCGUGUGCCCUGGAAGUCCUUGUGUUGGAGAUGUAACCCAAGAGUCACAUGUGUUUGGAGGUGGGGAGCUGAGGCUGGAGCUAACCCUGUGAGCGGAGCACAGCGGGCCCUUCUGAAGAGCCAGCCUGCAUCCUGGGCACACGCCCGUCCUGAACCUGUCGUUGCCUGCAAGGGGCACUGGAAUCCAGGGCCUGAGUGCCGGCCCAUGACGGGGACACCUGCCCACUGGGUCUCUCAGUGCCGGGCCCUCUGCCUGGGCUCUGGACAGCCCAGGCUGCCUGUGGGUGUCAGCUGAGAUCACUCCUCUUUGGAGAAGCCCCUGGACCCUGGCUGGGAGACCCCACCUCCACUGGCCAGGGCCCUGUCUACCCCACCAGACCCCUCCAUGUCUCAGAUUUUAUGUCCUGCCUGGCUCUGUCACCAGACAUCAGGCCUCCCAGGCCAGGCUCCGUCCAGCGCAUCCUGGGGUCUCCAGCCCAUGCUGGUCUCUGGAGCAUCUUGGGGUCUCCCAUGCACCCUGGGGCAUCCAGAGCACGCUGCGUCUCUGGGGCAUUCAAAG